rnacentral:rRNA from 1 species
GGUCAAGUGACUAAGAGCAUGUGGUGGAUGCCUUGGCGAUGAUAGGCGACGAAGGACGUGAUAGCCUGCGAUAAGCUCCGGGGAGCUGGCAAUAAGCUUUGAUCCGGAGAUUUCCGAAUGGGGAAACCCACCCUUCGGGGUAUCGCAUACUGAAUACAUAGGUA